AUAACAGCACCGAGAGGACGAGAAGCGCGCGCACACGGAGAGAACACACAGCGGUGACGGGUGAAGAUGGCGAUGCGGCGCGGUCUGAGAGAGAAGAACUCGUUAAAACCAAGAAUGCUUACGAAGAGAAUGGCGUCGACCUGUUCAGAUAAAAGAGCAGAUCGCAACGGUGGGAACAUGGAAUCGAAACAACUGGAUAAAAGAUGAUGGAGUUUUGUUCAGUCUCAUGCCAUAUAAAUGGUUCCUGAUCUCCUAAAUGUCAAAAGAAAGAUGAGGAAACGGAUUUUUGCCACGACGUUUGCCUGAAGAGGAAACUGCAGCAAAAUCAAGGAAAUGAAGACUGCUCUAACCAAUUCUGGACAGUCAAGUGGAGACUACAGCUUAAUGAAGAUGGCGGCUCAUAUUUUGCUUUUGGAUUUGGAAAGAAAGAGACAUUUUAUUUGUUUGUGAUUUGCUGUGUUUUAAUUAAUUCGCAAAUGUGCUUAACAAAUGUAUGUAUGUCAUUUUACUGCAUUAUUGUUUUGAUGAAAUGCUUGUAUUUCAAAAUUUAAUCAUGCUUUUUUUUGUGCCUUUUUUUAAAAUAUAAAUAAAGAAGUUUCGUUAUUGAACAAUAUCGAGUUGCUCUUAUUGGAUGGAAAAUAAGAAUGACGUUUCACAAAAUAUUUGUUUUGCGGUUUACGUCCAAGCGUCCAACACAGCUUUUCCAGGUUCAACUUUUCUUAAAAAAAGAAAA